rnacentral:rRNA from 1 species
UACGGGGGGGGCAAACGUUGUUCGGAAUUACUGGGCGUAAAGGGCUCGUAGGUGGCCAACUAAGUCAGACGUGAAAUCCCUCGGCUUAACCGGGGAACUGCGUCUGAUACUGGAUGGCUUGAGUUUGGGAGAGGGAUGCGGAAUUCCAGGUGUAGCGGUGAAAUGCGUAGAUAUCUGGAGGAACACCGGUGGCGAAGGCGGCAUCCUGGACCAAUACUGACGCUGAGGAGCGAAAGCCAGGGGAGCAAACGGG